AAUGCAUGCCCCUACUUUAUUUCUUUUAUCAUUUGUCCACCGUUAGAAAAAUUUUAGAAACUUGCAUAUUAAUUAAAUUGAAAAAUUUAAUUAAUAGCACUUCUUUAUUAAACUUAAUUAUUUAUGUGACUUGAGAAUUUCGGCUCUCUCUUUCUUUCCAUUUCCUUAGCGGCCGCCCGAGGCGUCACGGGGCGAUGCCGGUCGGCCGCUUACGCCCAUAAUUCCUCCGUUAGCUCCUCGUAUUUUUCCAUCAUAAUAUCGAACAAAAAUCCCAAAAUUAUAUAAGCGCUUAACCAAAUUAUCGCAAGUAUUUCCCCUCGCCCUUACAUUUAUUUCGAAACUUUGGGUAAAUUAUUUGUACAUCGAAUUAUUCUGAGAAUUAAUUAAACAAUUCCCCACAAUUAAUUUAAUUACCAACUCAAAGAUUUAUUUAAUUAUCGGCCCAAACUAAAAUAUCACCAUCCACCUUAUUUCUCCAAUUCAAAAUUUGUUAGUCCAAUUCCUUUAAAGAAAAACUUUGGGUAAAUUAUUUGUACAUCGAAUUAUUCUGAGAAUUAAUUAAACAAUUCCCCACAAUUAAUUUAAUUACCAACUCAAAGAUUUAUUUAAUUAUCGGCCCAAACUAAAAUAUCACCAUCCACCUUAUUUCUCCAAUUCAAAAUUUGUUAGUCCAAUUCCUUUAAAGAAAAACGUUCAAUCUCUUUUUCUUUUGUUUAAAAAAAACAAAAAGGCCCAAAAGAUAAGUGAAUUUCGAAAUCGGGCCUUCGUUCAAUUAUUUACUUAUUUACUGGAGCCCCAAUUAUUAGAAGAAUUGGGCUCAAAUUAUAUACUCCACUCCUUAGUCCAAACAAACUAAAAUGCUAGCCCUAAAUCAUUAAAUUCUUUAGCCCAAUUUAAAGAAAAACUAGCCCCACCCAUAAAGCCCAAUUUUAAAAACACUAAGUUAAAAACACAGCUCUUCUCCUUCCUCCCUCAUUCACCAAAAUGCACAGCCUCCUCCCUCUCACACCUUGCUGCCGCCGCCGCCAGCCUCCCUCCAUGCCGCCGUCGUGCCACCGCCACCUCCGGCGGUGGUCCUUCCUCCCCCUCAUCUCUCUUCCUCCCUUCUCUCCCUCUUUCUCUCUCUUCCUCUCAAGCCUCACGCCGCCGCCGCUGCUGUACGCGCGGCGGCUCGCCGUCGCGGCCUCCACCUCCCUCUCUCGAUUUCCACCGCCAUCACAUCAUCGCUGCUCCACCGCCUCAGCCCCCCUCUCUCCCGAAUCUGCAGCCGCCGCCACUGUGCAUGCACAGGCGGCGGCUUCGCCGGUUCUUCUCCACGCCUCGCGCUGCCGGAGUAGCUCCCCGAAGCCACCACAGUCGCCGCCUCCUCGCCGGAUUCCCAAAAGGUUGUGAUAUUAGUGACGUAUCGGGGUGUGGGGCUGUCCUCGUCGUCUCCGGGCUGCCAAAGACCCGUCGCCGAAAAUCCGGCAGUUUCUUAUUCUAGAGAUAAGUUUCUUAAUUUAUGCUUACCUUGGUUGUAGGACUUGGAUUAUGUAUUUUAUAUGAAUUUGGUGAUCCUUGAACAAUUAUCUUGCUACUUAUCUUGCUACUUGAGAUUUGAAGGUGAAACAUGGUGUUAAACUUGUUGUGUAUUCUUGAUUUCUGAAUUGGGCAGAUUCUAAUUUCUCUUUUGAUAUGCGUAUGCUUGUUCGUAUGUGCAACAAAGCAAAGGUUUGUUGUUUACCUGUUUAUGUGGAAGUGAAAAGUUGUUGGAUGGUAGUGUUUGACUCUACAAUUGUGUGAAAUUCUCCUUCCUCAAACUCCUCUAUCAACGUUGGCUUGGCGUGUAGACAACUUAGGAUGGAAUUGAUGGUGAUGUGUGUGUGUGGGAAAGAAAAAAUGAUUGUAUAUCUAUAUAUACAAUAUACAAAAAGUGGCAUUGAAAGUGACGUGUAGCAAGUUGGUGUAGCAAGUUCUUAUCUCCAAUUUAUUCUCCUUGACAUCAAGAGGGGAUAGAUAUGAUACGAUUUCUUCUGCCAUUCAAUUAAUGCAGCAUUUAAUGCUGUGCUGAAAAAAAACGAUUCUAUGUAUCUGCCCUCUAUCUCUCUCUCUUUUUUAUUUUAUUUUAUUUGUUUAUUAAAUUUUAUUAUUUGUAUAUUUAUUUACUUAUUUAUUUAAUUUGGUAUAGGAAAAAAAAAUCAAGCUUAAGCUCGUGGCUUUGGUGUAGGAAAACAAAUAACAUCCAUAGCCUUCUCUGAUGAUGUACCAGGCUUUCUUGGAGUGCGAGCACGACCGUUGCACGGGCUGCGUGAACUUUUCUCUAAUUGUAAUAGAUAAGGAUUUGAUAAAUUUGUAUAAUAGUAAUUUAGCGGACUUCGGAGAUAUGCCGGACUUUAUAACUUUUUAUUUGGUGUUAUUUAUUUUUUUUUUUUGAAAUAUUCGUUCGAGAACGAAGCAACGAUUAUUUAUAAUUCCAAGAUCAAUUAUUAUA